AUUCUCAUUCUUGAGCAUAAUGAGGAAACACUCUUUAAGGCAGAUGAGAAAGAGAGUGUUCAAGUAGUGGUUCUGAGUUGUGAAAAAAAAUAAUAAGAGGGUGGGAAAUAUUUUAGCUAUCUUGGAACACAUAAAAUUGUGAAAAUAUGUUGAGAAAGUUCUAUACAGCAAUUUCCAACUGCUGUAUAAUAGGUGUUCCAGAAAAAAUAGACUAGAAAGAAUAUAAAAUACAAUAAAAAAGACUUUUUUUUUUUUCCUGAGGGAAAGGAAGACUUUAGUCUCUGGCUAGAUAAGAUUCAUACAAUUUAAAGGAAACAAGUGGAAUUAUGAAAAUAUACAAAUAGUUAUGUAGCUGUAGGGAUGAACAGUUUUACUACAAAAUCAGAAAAUAAAAUAGUAAUAAAAAUGAUCUAAUGGCUUCCAAGAGGGAAAUAAAGUUUACACAUAAAAGGGCAAGAACCAGACCAGAAUCAGAUUUCUUAUCUGAAAUAUCAGAAGCCAGAAAACAAUGGGAAGGGAAAAAAGGCUGCCAAUGUUAACACAUGGGGAAGCAGGGUGUUGGCAGGAAAGGCAGUGUAAGGGAGGAGAGAUUUGUACUGGGAGGAAGAGACAAUGGAGAGAAGACAGCCUGAGCAGAAGCUGUGAGAGUAGACAGACACCAGGGAGAGGGACUGCUAACGAUGGUGUUAUUUUAACACUAGCCUUGUGUGGCAUGUUUUAAAAUUUUCAUUCUCACACCUUCCAAGACCUUCAUCGCAUUGUAAAAAUUUUUGAAUUUCUAUUUUGUUUAUGUUUUGGUGUAGAACUGUGUGUGCUAAAGGACACAGAUUCUACUACUGGAAGAAGUUCAAGGUUCUUAUUUUAGGACAUUGUUAACGUAGGGAUGUUAACUGGGUCAUGCUCACCAGUAGGUGGGGACAUUGCACUUUAGGAAUGCAAGGGAGUUAUUGCUUUCUCUCCUCUCCUUGCCUUGGCAGGUCUGGACUUGAGAGGCCAGUAUUCCCUGAGGGGGGUAACUCAGGCACUCUUAUUUCCUGAACUCAUCCUUCCAUGUGUUCAGGAUGUGAUGCAAUCUGAAGUGCAGUUUUGGAUGUUUGAGAAGCAGAGAAGCACCACUGGAGCAGGAGUUAAAGUCUGCUUUUGUUUGAGAACUGAGGAGCUCAGUAUUCUACAUACUCUCGCAGUUUUCCAUGGCUGUGGGACAAUGAACUUCAUGCAUUACCCCAGACAGUGACAUCGAUUCAGCAGGACUGCCACCAAGACUCCAGAACUGUAGAGCUACCAACAUCCAAAGAGAGCUUGGAAAAGACAAGAUGCCUGACUCUAAUCCAGGAGAACAGCCACUUGUGGACUGCAACCAGCAAAGCCAUGGGGCAGGGCUGCCUGAGGACUUGAGGGCCCAACUCCUGCCACAGUGUGCUCAGGAUGAGGGACACAGGCUCGGAAGAGAUUAUUUCCAGCUUUAAAACGGAAUGUCUUUCCUGUUGGGUUUUGGACUUCCGUGAGGCCUGUUACUCCUUUCUUCUGGCCUAAUUCUCCUGUCUCAGCAUUGUAUCUUAGUGGUAGAUGACUGGUUUUAAUUUCACAGGCUCACAGAUAGGACUUAUUUUGGAUUUCUGAGCUGAUACCAGAACAAGUUAAGACCUCAGGGAUCUGGGGAUGGAAUGAACGUAUUUGCAUGUAAGAAAGAUACAAGUUUUGUUGGGGAGGGCAGGGGUGAAAUGCUAUGGCUUAAAUAUUUGUUCCCUCUAAAACUCAUGCUGAAAUUCAAUCCCCACUGUAACAGUAUUAACAGAGUGGAAAAUCAGACUAUGAUAUUUCAGGGGUGGAACCUUUUGCAAGGCAAUCAUAUGUAAGGAUCUAUUAAAGCAACUCCCCUUCAUUUUUAUCAAUAGCUAUUCUGUAUAUUUAUUACUCUUGAAAAAAAUUAGAAAUAUUUUGUUAACAAAACUAUCUUAGUGAUACUCAGAUUAAAGCAUCAUAAAGUCUGUGUAUUUUGUUUGGAAAAUGGACACAAAUUGUCCUGUUCAAGAAUGCAGUACUUUUAUUUAUCA